AGCAGCUGAAACGAAAAAGAAAGGAUCAAGAUUGUAUAAUAGAUCUUGAAGAUAAGCUGAGCAAGUUUGUAGAGGCUCAGACCACAGCAAAUGAAGGACGCAAAGAGAUGUUAGAGACACAAAGGCGUGUGUCCAGCGAGAAUCUUGAAGCUCGGAAGCUUGCGUGCCUUGCUGCAAAAGAUAACAAGGAGUGUGCCAUGGUAGAAACGUACCGAUUGUUGAUGAUGCAAGAUACAACCGGGAUGCCUAAAGAUGUGAGAUCUGAGCACGUGUUGGCAUUGAAGUGUUUCAGGGAGAGGCUAUUUGGCAAAACUGACUAAGUGACUCAAAGUUGUUGAUGCAAAUGGGUGCUUGCUC